rnacentral:rRNA from 1 species
CGCGUAAGAUCGACGCAAUCGCGAAGACCAUCACCUGAAUAUUGACGUCCUUGUGAAUAUUCCGUAAGUUGGAAUCGUGCACUCGUGAGCACAGUGACAGGUCAUGCAUGGCUGUCAUCAGCUCGUGUCGUGAGAUCAAUGAGUACGUCCAGCAACGAGCGCAACCAGUAUCUAUAGGUGCCAGCGUGUAAUAGCGUGAACUCUAGAGCAGACUACCCGGCUUAACCGAGAGGCAAGGCGGCGAUGACCGUCAUGUCCUCAUCUCCACUCUAGCCACAGCUACACACGCGCUACAACGCGUUACCACAGACGGGCAGCGAACCCGUGACGGUGAGCGAAUCCCUAAAGUGUAUCUCAGACCGGAUUCGAGACUGCAACUCGACUCCAUGAAGUUGGAAUCGAUCGUAAUCGCGGAUCAGCAUGCCGCGGUGCACAUGUUCCCGCACCCUAUACACACCACCCGUCACACCAU